GACAGAGGCCUCAAGCGUUAGGCGGAAUCACUGGGCUUAAAGCGUGUGUAGGCGGAUCGUUAAGUGCCUUGUGAAAUCCCACGGCUUAACUGUGGAACGGCUGGGCAUACUGGCGGUCUUGAGCCAUCUAGGGGCGACUGGAACAAACGGUGGAGCGGUGAAAUGCGUAGAUAUCAGGAGGAACACCGGUGGCGAAGGCGGAUCUCUGGGCCAUUACUGACGCUGAGGAGCGAAAGCGUGGGGAGCGAACAGG
rnacentral:rRNA from 1 species